AAUCAACGCUGGCGGCGUGCCUCAGACAUGCAAGUCGAACGAUUAAAGCUCUCUUCGGAGAGUGUAUAGAGUGGCGCACGGGUGAGUAACACGUAAGUAAUCUACCUUCGAGUGGGGAAUAACACCGAGAAAUCGGUGCUAAUACCGCAUAAUGCAGCGGCAUCGCAAGAUGACAGUUGUUAAAGAUUUAUCGCUUGAAGAGGAGCUUGCGGCAGAUUAGCUAGUUGGUAAGGUAAUGGCUUACCAAGGCUACGAUCUGUAACCGGUCUAAGAGGACGGUCGGUCACACUGACACUGAAUAACGGGUCAGACUCCUACGGGAGGCAGCAGUCGGGAAUUUUGGGCAAUGGGCGAAAGCCUGACCCAGCAACGCCGCGUGAAGGAUGAAGUAUUUCGGUAUGUAAACUUCGAAAGAAUAGGAAG
rnacentral:rRNA from 1 species